rnacentral:rRNA from 1 species
GAACGUGUCCUGUAGUGGGGGAUAGCCCGGCGAAAGCCGGAUUAAUACCGCAUACGCUCUACGGAGGAAAGGGGGGGAUCUUAGGACCUCCCGCUACAGGGGCGGCCGAUGGCAGAUUAGCUAGUUGGUGGGGUAAAGGCCUACCAAGGCGACGAUCUGUAGCUGGUCUGAGAGGACGACCAGCCACACUGGGACUGAGACACGGCCCAGACUCCUACGGGAGGCAGCAGUGGGGAAUUUUGGACAAUGGGGGCAACCCUGAUCCAGCAAUGCCGCGUGUGUGAAGAAGGCCUUCGGGUUGUAAAGCACUUUUGUCCGGAAAGAAAACGCCGUGGUUAAUACCCGUGGCGGAUGACGGUACCGGAAGAAUAAGCACCGGCUAACUACGUGCCAGCAGCCGCGGUAAUACGUAGGGUGCAAGCGUUAAUCGGAA